rnacentral:rRNA from 1 species
AUUGAAAGCUGGCGGCAGGCCUAACACAUGCAAGUCGAGCGGAGAGGCGGACGGGUGAGUAAUGCCUAGGAAUCUGACUGGGAGAGGGGGAUAACGUCCGGAAACGGGCGCUAAUCCCGCAUACAAUCAGAUGGUACUAGGUCGGAUUAGCUAGUUGGUUGGGUAAAGUCCUACCAAGGCGACGAUCCGUACCUGGUCUGAGAGGAUGAUCAGUCACACGUGAAUUGUGACACGGUCCAGACUCCUACGUGAGGCAGCCGGGGGGAAGUGUGGACAAUGGGCGAAAUCCUGAUCCAGCCCUGCCGCGUGUGUGAAGAAGGUCUUCGGAUUGUAAAGCACUUUAAGUUGGGAGGCGUUACCAACAGAAUAAGCACCGGCUAACUUCGUGCCAGCAGCCGCGGUAAUUC